rnacentral:rRNA from 1 species
UACAGAGGUGCUCAAGCGUUGUUCGGAUUCAUUGGGCGUAAAGGGUGCGUAGGCGGCGCGGUAAGUCGGGUGUGAAAUCUCGGAGCUUAACUCCGAAACUGCAUUCGAUACUGCCGUGCUUGAGGACUGGAGAGGAGACUGGAAUUUACGGUGUAGCGGUGAAAUGCGUAGAUAUCGUAAGGAAGACCAGUGGCGAAGGCGGGUCUCUGGGCAGUAGCUGACGCUGAGGAGCGAAAGCGUGGGGAGCGAACAGG